UGGGGAAUCUUGCACAAUGGGGGCAACCCUGAUGCAGCGACGCCGCGUGAGCGAUGAAGCCCUUCGGGGCGUAAAGCUCUUUCGACCGGAACGAUAAUGACGGUACCGGGAGAAGAAGCUGCGGCUAACUACGUGCCAGCAGCCGCGGUAAUACGUAGGCAGCAAGCGUUGUUCGGAGUUACUGGGCGUAAAGAGUGCGUAGGCGGUUUUCUAAGUUCGGUGUGAAAUCUCCCGGCUUAACUGGGAGGGUGCGCCGAAGACUGGGAAGCUGGAGUGUGGGAAAGGCAGGCGGAAUUCCUGGUGUAGCGGUGAAAUGCGUAGAUAUCAGGAGGAACACCGGCGGUUUAGACGGCUUGCUAGACCAUAACUGACGCUGAGGCACGAAAGCGUGGGUAGCAAACA
rnacentral:rRNA from 1 species